ensembl:lncRNA
GGAAGCUAAGGCUCUAGAUGUGUCCAGCUGCACCGCAGAGAAAAAGAAAGAGCUCUACAACAUUGCAACUGAGGCGUUUCACGUCAGUCCACUCUCUGUUACCUCGUACCAGCUCGCACAACCUUAUAUUGGAGGUGCAGAUGUUGAUUAUAUUCGCAGUUUGGUGGCCUCCGAUGUUAACAUGGACCUCGCCACAUUCAGCAGUCUGGAUGAGAAUGUUGUUCUGGUCAGUUUUAUUUCAUGAAUUGUUCUUUUUCCAUAUGUAUUUUUCACAGCAUCAUCUUUAAAUGCUCUGUUCUCCACAGGCUCUAACUGUAGAUGAAGUCAUAAGUCUUCUUGGUGCCAACCUGCCCGAUCUGAAGUCCUAUGAAAACCAACCACUGGUGCAGACCUGGAUCAGAAACCAGUACCAGUCCCAGCUUAAUAUUCUAGGAUUAGGCAUCCUGGGAGGCAAAGCUGACCCCACGAUCUCCCCAGUGUUCAACAGUUCCACAACAUCACCAACACCCACUAGUUUCACUACAUUAGAUGGCACCACAAACAAUAGACAGGUAAUGUUAUUUUCUAAAUACUUUAGAGGUUGUUUGAAGAUAAAGCUCUUUAACCAUGUUUCUUUUGCUUCAUUUUUUUUUUAGUGUCAAGUAGUUGUAGCCAACGGUAAGUGUUUUUAAUAAAUGUGUUCAAUUUUAUGAUUUUUUUUUUUUUUUUUUUUAUGUUUUUACUUGUGUUUCUGUUUUCAGAGUCCACUACCUGUCUUGGGGUGAACAGGUAGGAUUUUGCUAUCCAUAUAUUUUCCAGAAAUAGUCAUAUUUGAAAAAGGUUAAGUUUCUAUUUAACUUUGAUGCACAGCGCUGACCUUCAGCUCCAACUCAACUCUGGUCAGACGAGCGGACGCUUCUGUGACUUUUCUGUGGAGCAGUUUGCGUGUGCCUCUGUAAGACACAAAGAUGUUUCACCUAAACAACUUAACUAACACUUACUUAGCAAAAGGAUUAAAGGAUUAUUAUUGCUCUUCACAAUACGGUUUAACUUUGUCACUUGAACAGCUCUCAGCGUUAACAGCGCAGGAACUGGCAGCGAUCCUGAAGUGCGAUCGAUCCUCCAGUUCAAGCGGCUCCAUUCCAUUCUGGAAGCUUCUCCUCUGCAAAACUUCCAGCAUCCUGGAUGGAGCUCUGGAUCUUCUAGCCACUACAACAAUCAACCCCAGCAGUCCUUCAGUGUCCAUGAUUUUGGACAGCAUACAGGAAAUCCGACCAGAUCUGCUCAGCAACAACACGCUGAAUGACCCCUCCAUGCUGCAGCUGUGGUUCAACGGUCGCCUUCGCCCGUUCUUACCUGCCGUUUCCUCCAACUUUCUCUCAAUUCUUGCAACAAAGGAAAUGGAGUGCAGCUCGUACCAGAAUAUUUUGCAAAGUUUGAGUCGAGCUCAGACACAGAUGAGCCUAAACACACAAUCAGCAGUCUACACACUCUUCAUCAAAGGUUUCUUGAGCAGGAAAGACACUGCAGGCUGUGCCUCCAACAUCAGCGCAGACUGGUUGAGGAACAAUUUGGGUUCCUUCUCAGAAUUUGCAUCAGUCAGCGAGCUGUUUGACCUCAACCCACAGUUCAACCCUGUAAGAUCAAAAUUUCAAAGAUCAAAAGAUCAAAGAGUUUCUAUCGACAUCCUUUCCACUGUUAUUUUCCAUUUCAGAUGGAGGCUCUCAGUGUUCUGA